rnacentral:rRNA from 1 species
UACGUAGGGUGCGAGCGUUAAUCGGAAUUACUGGGCGUAAAGCGUGCGCAGGCGGUGCUGUAAGACCGAUGUGAAAUCCCCGGGCUUAACCUGGGAACUGCAUUGGUGACUGCAGCGCUGGAGUAUGGCAGAGGGGGGGUGGAAUUCCACGUGUAGCAGUGAAAUGCGUAGAGAUGUGGAGGAACACCGAUGGCGAAGGCAGCCCCCUGGGCCAAUACUGACGCCUCAUGCACGAAAGCGUGGGGAGCAAACAGG